UACGUAGGGGGCUAGCGUUGUCCGGAUUUAUUGGGCGUAAAGAGCGUGUAGGCGGCCAGGUAGGUCUGGUGUGAAAACUCGAGGCUUAACCUUGAGAUGUCAUCGGAAACCAUCUGGCUAGAGUCCGGAAGAGGAAAGUGGAAUUCCUGGUGUAGCGGUGAAAUGCGCAGAUAUCAGGAAGAACACCAAUGGCGAAAGCAGCUUUCUGGGACGGUACUGACGCUGAGACGCGAAAGCGUGGGGAGCGAACAGG
rnacentral:rRNA from 1 species